rnacentral:lncRNA from 13 species
GAAGGAACGCGAACGCGAGAGAAGGAACGGGAAUAACAGGCAGCGCACACAUAAGCAGCCAACAGCGACCCGAAAGCACCUGAGACUCCUGCAUCCUGAGAGUCGAGAUCAAGGCCAAGGCGACCAAGCAAGGCGACUCCAGGCCACUGAAGGUAGUCCAGGCGGCCUUCUUCCGGCUUCCGGCCCAUCUGGGCCAUUUAGCUCCGAUAUCCGGUGCAAGAAGUCGCGCGUUCGGCCAUUCGGGCAAUUCGCUGCGAUUCGUCGACAAGACGGCGCGCGGCGCGCGGCGCGAACGAGUGUGAAAGAGCAGCGAACCAAAUGACCUUGAUUCGAGAUAACUUGCCAAACGAUCACAUUUUUUUCAACAGUCUUCUCUCUUUUCCUUCUUCUCGUUUUUCUGCACAUUCGUUCACGAUGAGACAACUUGAGAUUUUAGACUGCGGCAACUCUGUGAUACACGUUCAACAAUAUAGCGCACGGCAUGCGCUCAAUUCAUACGACUAACGUAAUUUUCUUUGGAAAUACAGUUUUAUCGCAGUUGAUCGAUUUUCAUCUUUUUAUUACAGACUUGCUUAAUGCCGCGAUUAUGAAUGUCGAUAUACAUAUAUUUAUUUGGAAAAAAAAUAUAUACUUUUAUUUGAGUGUGCAGCUCGUGUGCGAAAAUAUUGGCAGAAAACUAAAGCAACCCAGAUAUAUUAUACAUAGCGCAUGAAACAUUAAUUGCAACAAUAUUGCAACAACGUUCCUGUGCAAUGUUUCAUAUAUACUGCCUGGGAAUUUUUAAUAUAUUUUUGUCAAGAUAUGUACGAUAUAAGAAAUUUUGUUACAAAAUUAAUUAUUUAUAAUAUGCGUACGAUAUAUUAUAUUUCUUAAUCCUUAAAUGCACGCGCGGGCUUGUGUGUUACAGCCACAACAAACAAACGCACAAUAAACAAGACGCGUGUUAUUAAUUUCCGUUUUUCACUCUUUUAUAGCUUACAUAUUUUAGCUUAUUGUUAGAUAUUUUCGAAUCGGAUAUGCAUUGUCGUCAAUCUAGAUAUACAUAUUUCGUCGUCAUGACUGUUGGUAAAAAUUAUUUAUAUUAAAAAAUAUAAUAAGUUAAAUUCCAAUUGACGAAAUUUCAAUGUCAAUUAUACAAGGCUAGCAGGCUUUUGUCAGUCAUAGCGCUUCUUACAUUUAUAUAACGUACUGAAUAGUAAUUUUUAAUUUUUACAAUCUCCAUCAGCAUAAUUGGACUUGCGCGCCACAUAUUUGUCGGACUUGAAAUACAAUCGGAAUAUGUAAUAGCAAAUUUGAUUGGAUGUACUAGUGCGCACUGGUGCGCACGUUAAAACCGUUGCGUCGGCGUCGACGCGUACACAAAGAUAUGUAAAGAUAUGUAUUUAAUAUAAAUAUAUAAAUAGAUUAAAUUGUGAAAAGCCUCAAUCGAUAUUUUAUUAUACUAUUUAGUAAAAUAUACAUUUGAUCAUUUAAGAUAUUUAUUUUUAAACAAGAUUAGACGAGUAUACAGCGGCUUUAAUAUGUGUGGCGCAUCAGUGCGCACUUAUGAAAUAUGGUGCACAUUUAUGAAAUAGCUGAAUUCUGCUGAAUUCGCUAUAAUAUUAAUGUUUCAAAAGCAUUUCUAAUUCUUCCAGGGAGGGAGAAUUUUAUUAAUUCUUCUCAAGCAUUAAUAUAUUGCCUUUUUCAUCAUAUUAUAAUUACGGUCUCACUAUAAAUGCUGUGAAGCAUUUCGAGUGCGAUUAAUCAAGCGCUUCAAAGUAUUUCAGCGCUCAGCUUACUGCUUACGUCGCGUAACGUUUCGCUUCCAGUUCAAAUUGCCAUCGCUUACGACGCUAUCGUCGAAGCAGAUCGGUAGGGCAAGUUUUUAAUUCAUCAAUAGAUCAAUCGUAUUACGCACAGAUGCAACUUUGCUUUGUGAAAACUGAAAGGUCAUUUUACUUCGAAAGGAGAGACUACUUUCAAGGCGAUCUAUCAUUCGUAUCACUCGCUCCGGAGUAGCUCUUUUUGAUUCUUAUAUGAUAUAGCGAGUCGGAUACUUUUGGAACAGAACUUGUAAUCUGGAGAUUAUAUAAAAAUAAAUAUUAUUAUUCAGCACUAGAACCGCGCUCUAUCAUCUGGAACUCGUCGAUCUGCUAAUCUUAUGUUUAAAAGAAAUAUGUCUUAUUUAAAUGUAUUUGUACAAAAACUAAUUCAAUACUGUUGUGUAUACCUUUUAAGCUUGUGCUUUGUUUUUCAUUCACUUGUCAAUUUGUCAAAUUCUCAAUUCUAAGUUGAUCGGUAAUGUCUAAAUGUCAAGAAUAUAUCAACAGAUUUCAGACGCUAAUUAUUUAUAUCUAGGGUAUGUAACAUACGCUCACGCGUGCGAAGAUUAAUAUUAAAAAGUAAAAUGCGAUAUUGAUGCGACAAAUUAAAAUAAUCCUUGUAUUUCACAUGAAAAAAAAAAAGUUGGUAUGAUGUAAGUAAGAAAUGCAUUAUUUUUUAAUUAUCGCCAUUUUUAUGUUGAAAUUUUAAAUGUUUUUUUUGCAAUUUUGACAAAAAAUUCAAAAGUCAAACAUUUCAAAUUUUAACGUAAAAAUGACGAUAACUCCGAAACAAUGUUUCUAAACCCAUUUAAAUCCAUAAUUAUUUUCUUGUUUAUGGAUUCCAUUCACGUCCCGAGUAAUAAGUUCUUCACUUUUGAAACAUUCUGUAUACCAAGCAAAAAAGAGAUGAUUAUUGAAUGUAAGCUAGCGUAAGUUAAAACGUUUUAUUAUCCUUUCGAAAUGUUAAAUGCCUCGUAUCCUCUUAAGCUUCUUGGCGAAUAUGUAUAUAAUAUGUAUGUGUAAUAAAUAAAUUCUUUAAUUCUUUAAGAUUUUUGAUUUUCUUUCAAGAAAGAAAUCUAUCGAUCACGAAAAUUGUAAUUAUCGAUUUAAAAUAUUCAUCUAAUUUUAUAUCGAACAAACGCAUGUUGAGAAUAUUUUUUCCGAUUAAGCUACAAUCAGAGAUAAAGAAGAAAUAAUAAAUAUUUAAGAUCAAGUGGAUGUAUUCAUUUCACGCGCGCGCGCACACGCACGCACGCGCACACACACACACACACACACACACACGCGCGCGCGCGCGCAUCAUCUGAAUGGCACAUAUGUCCGCACUUUAGAAUAAAACGAGAGUAAUCGAUGAUGAAGAAUCGCUUAUCGUAAAAAUAUCAAUUGCCGUUAUUUUCGUCAUGUACUAAAGCUUGUUUUUCUACGUUACACGCGAUUUAUCUUUUUAACACGAUAAACACACGAAAGAUGUUGAAAACGAAUCUAUCGACCAAUCACGAUAAAUAAAGAUAAAAAGAUUUAUGUCCCGAUGGCGAAUAAUGUAUAGACUACGUAUAUAAAGCACAAUUACAAUAUAUUUCACAAAUUGUUUAAACAUUCAUACAUAAUUAUACGAAUUUUCGCAUAUGACGAAAAGGCGAUUGAAUGAAAAGUUAAGGGAAGGAGUAUAUCAUAAAAACAAUGUAUUUCAAAGACAGGAAAAACGUUGGGACGUCAAAAAACGGUCGCAAAACCGCUGACGUAUAUAACGCCACAGUAGCAAAAGUUGACCAAUUUAACAGCUACGCGAGGUCUGAACUCUUAUAUAAAUUUCUUUCUUGAAUCUUUGAAUUUUCCAUCACGUUCUCUGCACAAUUUCGGAAUGUCAAGGAUAUAAUUCUACUGUACCUUAUCGAGGUGUAAUAAAUAAAUCGCUUCUCCUUUAUAGCGAGACAUACGUGUGUUUGGAUAACUGUAAGUUUGAAGGCGGGCGAGCGGGCAGAUGAGGGAAGAAGGUACGCGCGCAUCUGCUCGCAACACCAGCUAGCGAGAUAAUUUUUCAUAGCUUCCGUUUUUUUCCCAAGUUUUCUAUCGCGCCGAGAACUUAAAAAAAAAAAAAAAAAGUAGAAACUU